UAUGGCCACAUCACAUUGAAACACUGGUUCCUGUAUGAUCACCAGUUAAGCAAUGUUGAGCCUGGUCAGUACCUAGAUGGGUGACCACUUUGGCAUACCAGGUGCUGUAAG
rnacentral:rRNA from 1 species